rnacentral:lncRNA from 1 species
GGGGCCCAAAGGGUCAAAAUUAAACUUUUGUUUGAUUUCAUCAAAAUUGAAUAAAUUGGGGUUCUUUGAUAUUGCUGAAUCUAACUGUCAUGACUGUGUAUGUAGAUUCUUAACUUUUGGUCCCGUUUUCAAAUUGGUCUACAUUAAGGUCCAAAGGGUCCAAAAUUAAACUUAGUCUGAUUUUAACAAAAAUUGAAAUCUUGAAGUUCUUUGAUAUGCUGAAUCCAAAAAUGUACUUAGAUUUUUUAUUAUGGGCCCAGUUUUCAAGUUGGUCCAAAUCAGGAUCUAAAAUUAUUAUAUUAAGUAUUGUGCAAUAGCAAGUCUUUUCAAUUGCACAGUAUUGCGCAAUGGCAAGAAAUAUCUAAUUGCACAAUAUUGUGAAAUAGCAAAUUUUUUUUUAAUUAGAGUUAUCUUUCUUUGUCCAGAAUAGUAAGCAAGAAAUAUCUAAUUGCAAAAUAUUGUGCAAUAGCAAGAUUUUUUUUUAAUUGGAGUUAUCUUUCUUUGUCCAGAACCAACUUAAAUCUUUGUUAUAUACAAUAUACAAUGUAUAUUCACUUUUUACUACCAACUGAUAAAUUAAAAUAAUCUUUACCAUUCAGUGAUAACAAGCAGUUUUUUUACAUCUUAAUAUUUUAUGAUGUAUUUAAAUGAGUAGUUAUUGUUGCAAACUCCAUUAGAAAUUUUAAUUGAGAUUAGUUUUGGAAUAAGGGAAAGGGGGAUGUGAUUAAAAAAAUUGGGUUCAAUUUUUCUCAUUUGAAAUUUCAUAAAUAAAAAAGAAAAUUUCUUCAAACAUUUUUUUGAGAGGAUUAAUAUUCAACCACAUAGUGAAUUGCUCUAAGAGAAACAAAAAUUUUAAGUUCAUUAGAACACAUUCAUUCUGUGUCAGAAACCUAUGCUGUGUCAACUAUUUAAUCACAAUCCAAAUUUAGAGCUGAAUCCAGCUUGAAUGUUGUGUCCAUACUUGCCCUAACCGUUCAGGGUUCAACCUCUGCGGUCGUAUAAAGCUACGCCCUGCGGAGCAUCUGGUUCAAAAUAUUAGGAGUUAUCAAGCCAAACAAGAAUGACUAUAUCAUAUAUGUUAUUUUCUUGCAGUUUAUUUAAAAUUGCAUGGCCUAAAA